UACGUAGGGGGCGAGCGUUGUCCGGAAUCAUUGGGCGUAAAGCGCGUGUAGGCGGCCGGUAAGUCCGCUGUGAAAGUCCAGGGCUCAACCCUGGGAUGCCGGUGGAUACUGUCGGGCUCGAGUCCGGAAGAGGCGAGUGGAAUUCCUGGUGUAGCGGUGAAAUGCGCAGAUAUCAGGAGGAACACCAAUGGCGAAGGCAGCUCGCUGGGACGGUACUGACGCUAAGGCGCGAAAGCGUGGGGAGCAAACAGG
rnacentral:rRNA from 1 species